AGGAUGGAGCUGAUGCAUGCUGAGAAACUGAGAAAGGAAAAGCAAGAAUUUGAGAAAGCCGCCAUGGACAUGGGGGAUUUCGAUCAUCCUGAGGAAAUCCUUAAAGGCAAGUCUAGGUGGGCCUUGAACUUUGAAUCCUCUUGCCUCAGCCUCUCAAGGGGCUGAGAUGAGCCCUGAACAACUAGACCUGGGUUUAACUUAAUAUUGUGAUAUCAUUGGAAGAGUAUUCAGAACAAGUCACUGAAUAGUAAGCCUUAAUUCAUGUUAAUUCAUUUAAUAACGUGGGAAGCACCUAAUGAAUUCAUAGCAUUCCAUUGCCUUAUUCAUUAAUCUCCUGUGGGUAGAGCUUGCCAUCUAUUAUUUCUUUAAAUUAUAAAUGGUAUUGGUGAAGAUUCUGUCAGUCUUUGGUCACAUUCACUGGUACUUCCUUGGGGGACUUAUUUGACAGUGAAAGUGCUGAAUUUAGGUAAAGGAAUGAAAUUCGCCAAUCUGCUCUUUCCAGCAUCAAAUGCAAGAGGCACCAACACCCUUGUCAGCACUGGGGAUUACGUACUUCAUUUCCAUUGUUUUAUAAUUCACCAUUCAGUAAAUGAAAGCGAUACGUCAUUGCUUAAACUACUUUUUCUUAUGGACUCAUGUUUUAAAAAUACAUCAAGAGGGCCUGGAGUUAAGAGCACUGACUGCUCUUCCUGAGGUUCUGAGUUCAAUUCCCAGCAACCACAUGGUGGCUCACAACCAUCUGUAACGAGAUCUGAUGCCCUCUUCUGGUGUGUCUGAAGACAGUGACAAUGUACUCAUAUACAUAAAAUGAAUAAAUAAGUCUUUAAAAGAACAC
rnacentral:lncRNA from 1 species